rnacentral:tRNA from 3 species
GGGCCGUUAGCUCAAUUGGCAGAGCAGAGGACUUUUAAUCCUUUGGUUGUGGGUUCGAGUCCCACACGGCCUACCA